rnacentral:rRNA from 1 species
UACGAAGGGGGGCGAGCGUUUGUUCGGAUUUACUGGGCGUAAAGGGCGCGUAGGCGGCGGGUCAAGUCGAGUGUGAAAGCCCCGGGCUCAACCUGGGAAUUGCGCUCGAGACUGGUCUGCUUGAGUUCGGGAGAGGAGCGUGGAAUUCCCAGUGUAGAGGUGAAAUUCGUAGAUAUUGGGAAGAACACCGGUGGCGAAGGCGGCGCUCUGGACCGAGACUGACGCUGAGGCGCGAAAGCGUGGGGGAGCAAACAGGG